CUGGCGGCGUGCCUAAUACAUGCAAGUCGAACGCACUCUCGUUUAGAUUGAAGGAGCUUGCUCCUGAUUGAUAAACAUUUGAGUGAGUGGCGGACGGGUGAGUAACACGUGGGUAACCUGCCCUAAGUGGGGGAUAACAUUUGGAAACAGAUGCUAAUACCGCAUAAAACCCAACACCGCAUGGUGUAGGGUUGAAAGAUGGUUUCGGCUAUCACUUUAGGAUGGACCCGCGGUGCAUUAGUUAGUUGGUGAGGUAAAGGCUCACCAAGACCGUGAUGCAUAGCCGACCUGAGAGGGUAAUCGGCCACACUGGGACUGAGACACGGCCCAGACUCCUACGGGAGGCAGCAGUAGGGAAUCUUCCACAAUGGACGAAAGUCUGAUGGAGCAACGCCGCGUGAGUGAAGAAGGUUUUCGGAUCGUAAAACUCUGUUGUUGGAGAAGAAUGUAUCUGAUAGUAACUGAUCAGGUAGUGACGGUAUCCAACCAGAAAGCCACGGCUAACUACGUG
rnacentral:rRNA from 1 species